CGGCAACAGCUCAAAUUUGAAAUCUGGCGCCUUUGGUGUCCGAGUUGUAAUUUGCAGAGGGCGCUUUGGCGUCGGCCCCGGCCUAAGUUCCUUGGAACAGGACGCUUCAUAGGGUGAGAGCCCCGUACGCGGCCGCCGGCCUUCGCCGUGUAAAGCCCCUUCGAC
rnacentral:rRNA from 1 species